rnacentral:rRNA from 2 species
UCCUGACUGACCGAUAGUGAACCAGUACCGUGAGGGAAAGGCGAAAAGAACCCCGGCGAGGGGAGUGAAAAAGAACCUGAAACCGUGUACGUACAAGCAGUGGGAGCACGCUUAGGCGUGUGACUGCGUACCUUUUGUAUAAUGGGUCAGCGACUUAUAUUCUGUAGCAAGGUUAACCGAAUAGGGGAGCCGAAGGGAAACCGAGUCUUAACUGGGCGUUAAGUUGCAGGGUAUAGACCCGAAACCCGGUGAUCUAGCCAUGGGCAGGUUGAAGGUUGGGUAACACUAACUGGAGGACCGAACCGACUAAUGUUGAAAAAUUAGCGGAUGACUUGUGGCUGGGGGUGAAAGGCCAAUCAAACCGGGAGAUAGCUGGUUCUCCCCGAAAGCUAUUUAGGUAGCGCCUCGUGAAUUCAUCUCCGGGGGUAGAGCACUGUUUCGGCAAGGGGGUCAUCCCGACUUACCAACCCGAUGCAAACUGCGAAUACCGGAGAAUG